rfam:Ixodes scapularis strain Wikel colony gcontig_1108379643272, whole genome shotgun sequence.
GCAGUCGUGGCCGAGUGGUUAAGGCAAUGGACUAGAAAUCCAGUGGGGUGUCCACGAACGGGUUCAAAUCCUGUUGACCGCG